rnacentral:lncRNA from 1 species
CUGUGAGGAACAAAAAUCAAAUUGUGUGAAUGCAAUGUGGAAACCUUUAUUUUGUUAUUCUUUUCUUAGUGGGUAUAUAUGUCACAAUGGAUACACACCAUUGAGCUUAGGGAUAUUGAAAGAAGCAACGCACCUCUCUCUCCCAGAAAAAAUUAGAAGAUGUCUAUUAGUCCCCACUUUGAGUAUACUUUGUAAAUGUGAUGCAAGUUUGCAAUUGGGAAUAGAUAUGCUCACACUGCAGAAAAUCUCUAUGGAUACUAGAAAUAUGGAAAUUCUUCUGAUUGUCCUGGUUCACUUUGCAAAUAUGGUAUGAUUCACACUACAGAAAAAUUUAUGAAUUCGUCCAGUGUGGUAAAUCUGAGUUCUAGCUUCAAAUAUGAGAAAAACUCUAUAUAGAAAAAG